rnacentral:rRNA from 1 species
AUUGAACGCUGGCGGCAGGCCUAACACAUGCAAGUCGAGCGGAGCGGCGGAAGGGUGAGGAAGGCCUAGGAAUCGGCCUGGGAGUGGGGGAUAACGUCCGGAACCGGGCGACAAUACCGCAUACUAUAAGAUGAGCAUAGGUCGGAUUAGCUGGUAGGUGGGGUAAAGGCCUACCAAGGCGACGAUCCGUAACUGGUCUGAGUGGAUGAUCAGUCACACUGGAACUGAGACACGGGCCAGACUCCUACGGGAGGCAGCAGUGGGGAAUAUUGGACAAUGGGCGAAAGCCUGAUCCAGCCAUGCCGCGUGUGUGAAGAAGGUCUUCGGAUUGUAAAGCACUUUAAGUUGGGAGGCGUUACCAACAGAAUAAGCACCGGCUAACUUCGUGCCAGCAGCCGCGGUAAUUC